rnacentral:rRNA from 1 species
CUGGCUCAGGAUAAACGCUGGCGGCGCACAUAAGACAUGCAAGUCGAACGGACUUAACCAUUAGUUUACUAUUGGAGCGGUUAGUGGCGGACUGGUGAGUAACACGUAAGCAACCUGCCUAUCAGAGGGGAACAACAGUUAGAAAUGACUGCUAAUACCGCAUAUGCCUUGAGUAUCGCAUGAUACAAGAGGGAAAGGAGCAAUCCGCUGAUAGAUGGGCUUGCGUCUGAUUAGAUAGUUGGUGGGGUAACGGCCUACCAAGUCAACGAUCAGUAGCCGGACUGAGAGGUUGAACGGCCACAUUGGGACUGAGAUACGGCCCAGACUCCUACGGGAGGCAGCAGUCGGGAAUAUUGCGCAAUGGAGGAAACUCUGACGCAGUGACGCCGCGUGCAGGAAGAAGGUUUUCGGAUUGUAAACUGCUUUAGACAGGGAAGAUAAUGACAGUACCUGUAGAAUAAGCUCCGGCUAACUACGUGCCAGCAGCCGCGGUAAUACGGGGGAUGCAAGCGUUAUCCGGAUUUAUUGGGUUUAAAGGGUGCGUAGGCUGUCCGGUAAGUCAGCGGUGAAAUUUAGGGGCUCAACCUCUACCGUGCCGUUGAUACUGUCGGGCUAGAAUGCGGAUGCCGUGGGAGGAAUGUGUGGUGUAGCGGUGAAAUGCAUAGAUAUCACACAGAACACCGAUUGCGAAGGCAUCUCACGAAUCCGCAAUUGACGCUGAUGCACGAAAGCGUGGGGAUCAAACAGGAUUAGAUACCCUGGUAGUCCACGCUGUAAACGAUGAUGACUAACUGUCGGCGAUACACAGUCGGUAGCCAAGCGAAAGCGAUAAGUCAUCCACCUGGGGAGUACGACCGCAAGGUUGAAACUCAAAGGAAUUGACGGGGGCCCGCACAAGCGGAGGAACAUGUGGUUUAAUUCGAUGAUACGCGAGGAACCUUACCCGGGCUCGAACGGCAGAUGAAUUGAGUAGAGAUAUUCAAGUCUUCGGACAUCUGUCGAGGUGCUGCAUGGUUGUCGUCAGCUCGUGCUGUGAAGUGUCGGCUUAAGUGCCAUAACGAGCGCAACCCUUGCCGUUAGUUGCCAUCAGGUUAAGCUGGGGACUCUAGCGGGACUGCCACCGCAAGGUGUGAGGAAGGUGGGGAUGACGUCAAAUCAGCACGGCCCUUACGUCCGGGGCUACACACGUGUUACAAUGGGGGGUACAGAGCGUUGCUUUCACGCGAGUGAUUGCGGACCGCAAAAACCCUUCUCAGUUCGGACUGGAGUCUGCAACCCGACUCCACGAAGCUGGAUUCGCUAGUAAUCGCGCAUCAGCCAUGGCGCGGUGAAUACGUUCCCGGGCCUUGUACACACCGCCCGUA